AUAUCAAGAAACUUAUUCUUUGGCCUUUCACAUUUAGAUCUGUAGUCCACCUGAAAUUGGUGUAUGUUUAUGGAUAUCCCGUUGACCCAGAACCACUUAUUAAGAAGAUUGUCCUUUCUCCUACGGCUCAGCAUGCCACUUUUGUCAUAAAUCAAGUGUCCAUUAAUGUGUGGGUCUGUUCUUUGACUCUAUGUUGUUCCAUUGGUCUACUUGCCUAUUCUUGUACCAUUACUAUUCUGUCUUAAUUAUUGUAGCUUUAUAAUAAAUCUUUUUAUCUGAUAGAUUGUCUUCCAACUUGCUUCUUCUUUAAGUGUCUGUAGCAUUGUUGGCCUCUUACAUUUCUAUAUACAUUUUAGAAUCAGCUUAUGAAUGUUCCCAAAAAACAUGCUGGGAUUUUCAAUACAUUGGUGAAUGCAUGAAUCAAUAUAUCGAUUUAGGGAACAUUUUUACAUCUUUUAACUAUCUAAACCAAAUAUUCAGGAGAAUACAUAAUGAGAAAGCUUCCCCAAACACAGUCUGGAAAAUAAAUUUUCCUGGGUAGGGGGAAAACAAUGACAGCUUCAAGGGCAACAAUUUAGUGUGGGCAUUGGUGGGCUCCAGAGAAAGUGGUCUUGUCCCCAUACCACAAGCUAAGCCCUGGGAAGACCAUAAGAUGCCCAAGUAGGGUGUGGAACAUGAGGGUGUGAGCAGCGAUGAAAUUUGUGUUUUCCUGUAGAUCCCUGAGGAAGUUGCAAGACCCUAAUGAAGAAGCGGCUGUAUCAUAUCACCUGCCAGAUGGGGCUUAGGCAGCCUCCCAGAGCUUCCUACACCGAAGAAUCACACAGGAGCAGCAGAGCCAUCCCUGAGUGCCCAUGGGUAGCAUAGUAGCGGGAGAAGGAAACACAAGCUCUUGAAUUGCUCACUGAGCACAGGGUUGAGCAUGGGGUGCCCUGGCAGUUGCCUGCCUAACCAGAUGACAUGACAUCCCAUCCACUGUGCCUCGACACCAGAUGCUACCAAAUAACCUAACAAUACCGGCAAUUGCUCUGUCCCACCAAAAUUUGGAUGUUUCAAAAUUGCCUUCAGAAGAACAAUCUACUUAAUUGAAAAACUGUAGAGACAAAGUCAACCAAGUGCCUGUCAAUGGAUCCCAGUCUCUGAACUCAUUAUCCAGAACCUGUAGCCAGUAACAGUCACUUAGCCCAGGCCCAGACCAGCUGAACUGCAGAGAUGCAAGUGCCAAAAAGCCAAUCUCUCCCUGCUUUUCUCAUCUGCCUCCCAGAAUCUGAUGUCUUGCUGAGUAGCUGGCCAGGUGUCCCCAUUCUUAGUGACUUGGAGGAGGUGGGAGACUUGGCAAAGCAGCAGGAAUACACACACACCCCUCACCUCUGUCCUCUGCAAUCCCCUGAAAAACAGGCUCGUCUGCUUUAACUGGAAUCACAAACUUUUAAGUUCUAGAAUGAAGUAGCAGAUGUUUAUGUGAAACGAUCCUAUUUCUCUAAUAUUCACUCAGCAAGUAGUUGUCAAGAUGGGGUUUACAUAUUGAAAUCCAUGGAUGGGAGGAUUGGCAAGAACUUUGAACAAUGGGGUCAAUGAGAUGCUGAGGAGAAGCCCUGCCUAGGGGAAGAAAAUGAGGCGAUGGGGACACCAGUGGCUCCUGGCACCUGGAUGAACGGAAACCAGAGGCUUCAAAUACAUUAACCAGAGCAGAAAUGGAACCAAACAAGAAAACACAUGAAGGUGGAAAGAACAGAAAGGGACAAACUAUUUUCUUAGUGAAAAUGGGAAAGUUACACACCUCCUCCUCCCAAACAUGAUGAUGUUCUGUUUUGUUAACCUCUUUGAGAAGGUGACUGGAUACAGAAAUAUGGUCUAGCCUAUC
rnacentral:lncRNA from 1 species